rnacentral:tRNA from 1 species
UAGAUAGAAGCCUGCGGGUUUAGGCACCUGGCUGUUAAUCAGGGGAAUAUGGGAUCGAGGCCCAUCUAUCUAG